AGUCAGGGGAAACCCUGAUGGAGGCUCGUAGGGAUUCUGACGUGCAAAUCGAUCUUCAAAUUUUGGUAUAGGGGCGAAAGACUAAUCGAACCAUCUAGUAGCUGGUUCCUCCCGAAAUUUCCCUUAGGAUAGCUGCAACCGAACAGUUUUAUCAGGUAAAGCGAAUGAUUAGAGGCCUCAGGUGUGGAAUGCUCUUGACCUAUUCUCAAACUUUAAAUGGGUAAGAACCCUGGGUUGCUUAAUUGAACCCGGCGGUCGAAUGACGGUUGCUAGUGGGCCAAUCUGGGUAAGCUAGAUUGGCGAUGCGGGAUGAUCCGAACGUCAAGUUAAAGUGCCAAAGUAUCCGCUAACCUAGAUCCCACAAAAGGUGUUGGUUCAUUAAGACAGCAGGACGGUGGCCAUGGAAGUCGGAA
rnacentral:rRNA from 12 species